rnacentral:misc_RNA from 1 species
GGGAGUGUGGGGCUCCCGGCGGUAGGUGCAAUGCCGGACUACCCACUAAAAACCAGCGGUGUCCACCUUCGUCGCCCGUGCCGGGGUCGCAGGAAUCCAGGAUCGUCUGCAAACCCCGGCGGUUCAAUGAUAGUGAUCUGUGACAACCCUUGACAACAGAGGAAAAAUUAUCAGCAUGACACAAUGUCCACGCCUAUCGCAUUCCACACCUGGACAUAGCCCUCCACAAGAUCGCG